rnacentral:tRNA from 1 species
CCUGGUGGCUCAGAGUGUAAAGCGUCUGCCUGCAAUGCAGGAGACCUGGGUUUGAUCCCUGAGUCAGGA